AUUUGGGUUGGGAAAUGAUUGGACCAGGCCAAUUUUGGUAGUUCCGCUUCCCCCUGGGUGGGACAGUAAGAUCCUAUAAAAAGGUCCCCUGCGUCACGACGGCUAUCCUCCUGCUAUUUGAGUUCUGAUUGCAUGUUAGAACACGGAGAGUCUCACUCUUCAUUUCAACUUUGUUCUUGAACACCCGAAUGUUGAGUUUAUGCUGGAGUCAGCAAGCUUGAUGGGUCCAAAGUUAAGCUUAUGGGCGUAAUUCUUCUUAUUGGAUUGCAACGUGGAAUGUGGGCACAAUGUUGUAUUGUAAUUACUAGAUUACUGAUACCUAGUUUGAAUUACUCUAUUGAAAAAGAAAUUAACAGGAAAUUUUUACAUGAAGACAUAAAGAGCAAAGUAUUUACCUUUUUCUAUGCUGUUGUCUUGUACCUCUGCUGUGAUUGAAGAGGCAUUUAUCUUAGAAGUUGUGAAACACUUACAUUCAUUCUGAUUGCCAUUUGCUCUGUAUAUAAGUCAUUCUGUUGGGACCUCAUGAAAGAACAUGUUGAUACAAAUUGCUUGUGAGCUUGCCCAGGAUUUUAGAACUUGUGAUGGCUUUUUCUAAAGAUGUCGUUUUCAUAAAAAAGAAAAAAAGGAAGAAAGAAAGUAAGAAAGAAAGAAAGAAAGAAACCAAAAGAGAAAACAUUGCAUGUUUCUUCAAAACAAAGAUAUUUUCUUUAGAAAAGUUGUAUGAGAAAAGAGAACGUUUUCUCUGGGCUAAUGUAAUGAUUUUCUGAAGAACGAGUGAGAAGUCAGAAAUUCAUUAAAAGGAAUUAAAGAGAUUAUAGCACAUACUUAGAGAUUGAUAUUAAGACUCCAGAAAGAUGUCUUCUCAACAUCAGCAGUGCAAGUAGCCCUGCCAGCCACCACCAGUGUGGACACCAAAAUGCCAUGACACUUGCCCACCUUGCAAGUGUCCAGACCUUUGCCCACCUUGCAAGUGUCCAGACCCUUGCCCACCUAUAAAGUGCCCUGACCCAUGCGUGCCUCAGCAGUGCAAGCAGAAAUGCCCUCCUGGGGCACCUGUUCAACAUUGCUAGCAGAAGUGGCCACCCAAGAGUAUGUAAGAGCUUGAGCUUUUAUCUGCAUCUGGAAAGGAUAAGGACAAUGGACUCAACUAGUUCCAGAGCUCCACCAUCCUCUUCUCUUCAAAGCCUAUCAUGGAUACGGAAGAAGCUUCUCCACCUUUCAGCCUCAAUAUGCGAGUGGUGCUUCCUGACAGACAGAGGUUUCUUACCUGCGGGUGCUGUACUGCUUCCCUCUGGGAGGUGCCCAAGAAAGCAUCGCAGAGCCUCUGAAGGAAGAGCAGCCGCUCUCCUCCUGGGCGCCCUCUGAGGAUUCUCUCGCUGUCUUCUGUGUCGGUCGGUCACCUGGGCAUGGGUUUCUACCAGCUGAGCAAUUGUUACUUAUCCUCCACGUCCUGAAUAAAAUACAGUUCUUUUGUGA